GUAAAUAUAGUUUAAACAAAACGCUAGAUUGUGAAUCUUGCAAUAGAGACUUACAACCUCUUAUUUACC
rnacentral:tRNA from 1 species